GAUCACAGUUCCUUCGAGUUCUUUAUGGGUCGUCCUUUGGGGCGCCUGGGGCGGGGGGGUCCAAAAGGAAGAGCCCUUCUUAGGAAAAAUCUUCAUUCCUCUUAAAUCCCGGGGACUGCACCUCUCCUUUCUCGAAGCCCACAGACAGCUGGUGCUCGCAGCUGAUGCUCGCAGAGGAGCCCUCACUUCUGUGGCCGCUCACGUCGCCUUCCUCACGUUUCGUACGGAGCGUGGCAGCUCUCUCGUGGUCAUGGAAAGGUCUGUUUUACGAGUUUUCCUCUUCUGCUCCUCGACGUCUGGAACUGCGUUUUACUUGUCUAGGUAUCCAGCAGGUCCUAGGCCUCACCAGGCACGUAUUAGGUCUUUAAAAAUGCCUGUGUCACAGGGAAUGGAUGGAUGGGUGCAUGGACAGGUGACGCUUCGCCCACGACUCUGAGCAGUGCCCUUCGCAGAAGACGAAUUGGAGCACGUGACUCGUAAAACGAAAAAUCAGGAAUCCCUAUACUUUAUCUUCUCUCUUCCUUUCCACGCUCACUUACCCUCCUUUGGUCCCCCGUGUUUCCUCCUCAGACCACUUUCCUUCUUCUUCGUGCUCAGGCCAACGUCCCUCUAGUCUUGUCUUCUGAUUCCCAUUGGCCAGGGCACAAGGAGCAUCUUCUCUGCCGUGCGCUGAAAAGAGGUAUCAUUUCUCCCUCCCCAGGGAGCUGGUGUGUGUGUGUGUGUGUGUGUGUGUGUGUGUGUACCUCUGCACACUUGCUACUGGGAGAACAUCUGGGAGACAGAACACUUUAAGUGCUUCUAUUUCAGAUCAAGAAUCUUGAUUAACAACAAACCAUAUAUCGCUAAGGGUGAAAUUAUAUGGUACAGAUUAUACACAUGUUGGAGCCUCAGAGAAAAAAACCUUUCAGGUGAGGGAACUUGAGAAUGCCCUCGUAAGAUGGGGGAAUGGAGUUGAAACUUGAAUGAAAAUAGAAAAGGGUCUUGAAAGUUAACUUUUAAAGAAUUUUUUAAUCCAGUACUAUUUCACUAUUUUGGACCCAAUUAUCAGGAUUCUUAAGUAAGUUUAUCACGCGUUCUCCGAAUGGGUCCAGGGGAGAAGUGAUUGACAGGACAGAGGGACGACUGAAUCCACAGUGGAGACCUCGCCGCCUAAGGAAGGAUGGAGGAGCACACAGGUGAAGGGAGAAAAGAAGUGAAACGCUUUCAGCACCCACGUUUCAGGUCAAAGUGACAUUUUAUUUCUUCGCCCCCACUGCCUAACAGGGUAGGGAUUAUUUCUCGCAUGUUACAGAUGAGGAACUGAAUUCAGGCAGGUGCCCAAGGCUACACGGUGCUUCCUGGCGGAAUGAGGAAUCUAGCUGGAGUCUGGCUUCCUCAAAACCCCUGGCCCCUGUAAACCUGCUGCCUCCAGCCCAGCUCAAAUCAUUGAUAUUCUGAUUGCAGCUCAUCAUAAACGGUAUUUACUCAAGUCCCACUGCUAAGGAUUAUUGAAGGAGAGGAAAAGAUCUUUUGAAAAUACCCUGUAACUCACAUUUUACCUGCCAGAUGGAACAGCCACAUUCCUGCAAAAAGAUCUCUUUGGUGUCUGGCUAACUAGAAGACCACUGGAUUCUGGCAUCGGAUUCUGCCUUGCAAAUUUCUGGCAACAGGUGUUUGGUUGAAGUAUAUACUAAAAAAAACUGAAGCCUCACAUAGAUCGUUAGUAGGGAGAGGCAUGUUUUUAGCAGGCUUUGUAGGCAAUUGGGGCUAUUCUUCUUUGAUUCUUUUUUCGGGGGGUAUAUUUCUUAGGAUGUUGACUUCAGAACAGAUUGGGUGUUUAUAACUGCGCCGUUAACACAUAGAUAUUAAUCGUGUAAAAUGCCAUUACGGCGAAUAAAACCACAGUC
rnacentral:lncRNA from 1 species